rnacentral:sRNA from 1 species
CCCGCCACGCCUCUCAAUGAUGCGCACCAUGGCGGGG